CCUACGGGAGGCAGCAGUGGGGAAUAUUGCACAAUGGGGGAAACCCUGAUGCAGCGACGCCGCGUGAGUGAAGAAGUAUUUCGGUACGUAAAGCUCUAUCAGCAGGGAAGAAAAUGAUGGUACCUGACUAAGAAGCCCCGGCUAACUACGUGCCAGCAGCCGCGGUAAUACGUAGGGGGCAAGCGUUAUCCGGAUUUACUGGGUGUAAAGGGAGCGUAGACGGCAGCGCAAGUCUGGAGUGAAAUCCCAUGGCUUAACCAUGGAACUGCUUUGGAAACUGUGCAGCUAGAGUGCAGGAGAGGUAAGCGGAAUGCCUAGUGUAGCGGUGAAAUGCGUAGAUAUUAGGAGGAACACCAGUGGCGAAGGCGGCUUACUGGACUGUAACUGACGUUGAGGCUCGAAAGCGUGGGGAGCAAACAGGAUUAGAUACCCGGGUAGUC
rnacentral:rRNA from 1 species